UAGUUCCCCAGUGUUAGCCCUGGCUGUAGAGCUGAAAUAAACAAGUUGCUCCAGGUGAUAUUAUAGCACAGUAAUGAGGUUCAGAUGGCAGCUGUAGCAGCUGUGGUUGCCCUUGUUUUAUUCUUCUGAUUAACAUAUACAGGUUAUUAUAGCUAAGGUGAUUUGGGCCCUUAUUUCUGUCUUACACUUUCCUAAAUUCUUUUCCUGUGGGAUGAGAGACUUGCCUGCAAAAAUCUAGACUGAAUAUCAUUAUCACUCUUAUGUUUCCCCCCUUUUUUGAUCUUGUUUCCAAAAACAUAAGAUGAACCAUGAUGUGCCUUUACAGCUCCAAGUCAGCUGAUAUUACUACAAGUUUAUAAGAAGAAGCAACAUGUUUAACUUUGUCAAACCAAGAAGAAAUAAAUUCUUAAAACAAAUGACUGUGGACAAAAUGCAGGAUUCUUUUACAUCUUGCAGAUGGAUGUUGGCAUAAAGCCUACUCUGGAGUCCACACUUGUGUAAAGCUUUAUGCCCAUGUCAAGGCAAAACUUGGGAGAAGCUGUGACAGAGCCACUUCUCAGGCUCAUCUAUUUUCAUCAUGAAGGCCACACCCAAACUGGACCAAGCCUCAGACUGCACUCCAGCAAGACUGCUCAUGUUCACCCUUGGUUAGACCAUGCUGGCUGCAUGAACUGUGCUCACUGAGUUACACAGCUGCAGGGAGGGUGAU